rnacentral:rRNA from 1 species
AAUUUUGGACAAAGGGUGAAACCCUGAUCUAGCCCUCCUGUGUGUAUGCUGAAGGCCUUCGCGUUGUAAAGUACUUUUGGCAUAGAAGAAAAGGUACCCCCUAAUACGAGAUACUGCUGACGGUAUGUUCAUAAGAAGCACCGGAUAACUACGUGCCAGCAGCCGCGGUAAUACGUAGGGUGCAAGCGUUAAUCGGAAUUACUGGGCGUAAAGCGUGUGUAGGCGGUUCGGAAAGAAAGAUGUGAAAUCCCAGGGCUCAACCUUGGAACUGCAUUUUUAACUGCCGAGCUAGAGUAUGUCAGAGGGGGGUAGAAUUCCACGUGUAGCAGUGAAAUGCGUAGAUAUGUGGAGGAAUACCGAUGGCGAAGGCAGCCCCCUGGGAUAAUACUGACGCUCAGACACGAAAGCGUGGGGAGCAAAC